GCCUUUCUGGGGUUUUUUUUUUUGGGAUUUUAUAUAGUGUUUUUACUCUAGUCAGAUUGAACGCUGGCGGCAGGCCUAACACAUGCAAGUCGAGCGGCAGCACGGGUACUUGUACCUGGUGGCGAGCGGCGGACGGGUGAGUAAUGCCUAGGAAUCUGCCUGGUAGUGGGGGAUAACGCUCGGAAACGGACGCUAAUACCGCAUACGUCCUACGGGAGAAAGCAGGGGACCUUCGGGCCUUGCGCUAUCAGAUGAGCCUAGGUCGGAUUAGCUAGUUGGUGAGGUAAUGGCUCACCAAGGCGACGAUCCGUAACUGGUCUGAGAGGAUGAUCAGUCACACUGGAACUGAGACACGGUCCAGACUCCUACGGGAGGCAGCAGUGGGGAAUAUUGGACAAUGGGCGAAAGCCUGAUCCAGCCAUGCCGCGUGUGUGAAGAAGGUCUUCGGAUUGUAAAGCACUUUAAGUUGGGAGGAAGGGCAUUUACCUAAUACGUAAGUGUUUUGACGUUACCGACAGAAUAAGCACCGGCUAACUCUGUGCCAGCAGCCGCGGUAAUACAGAGGGUGCAAGCGUUAAUCGGAAUUACUGGGCGUAAAGCGCGCGUAGGUGGUUCGUUAAGUUGGAUGUGAAAUCCCCGGGCUCAACCUGGGAACUGCAUUCAAAACUGUCGAGCUAGAGUAUGGUAGAGGGUGGUGGAAUUUCCUGUGUAGCGGUGAAAUGCGUAGAUAUAGGAAGGAACACCAGUGGCGAAGGCGACCACCUGGACUGAUACUGACACUGAGGUGCGAAAGCGUGGGGAGCAAACAGGAUUAGAUACCCUGGUAGUCCACGCCGUAAACGAUGUCAACUAGCCGUUGGGAGCCUUGAGCUCUUAGUGGCGCAGCUAACGCAUUAAGUGACCGCCUGGGAGACGCCGACUUGG
rnacentral:rRNA from 1 species